GAAAUGCGAUAAGUAAUGUGAAUUGCAGAAUUCAGUGAAUCAUCGAAUCUUUGAACGCACCUUGCGCUCCUUGGUAUUCCUUGGAGCAUGCCUGUUUGAGUAUCAUGAAAUCUUCAAAGUAAAUCUUUUGUUAACUCAAUUGGUUUCUACUUUGGUAUUGGAGGUCUUUGCAGCUUCACACCUGCUCCUCUUUGUUCAUUAGCUGGAUCUCAGUGUUAUGCUUGGUUCCACUCGGCGUGAUAAGUUAUCUAUCGCUGAGGACACUGUAAAAGGUGGCCAACGUAAAUGCAGAUGAACCGCUUCUAAUAGUCCAUUGACUUGGACAAUACUUUUAUGAUCUGAUCUCAAAUCAGGUAGGACUACCCGCUGAACUUAAGC
rnacentral:misc_RNA from 1 species